rnacentral:rRNA from 1 species
UACAGAGGGGGCAAGCGUUGUUCGGAAUUACUGGGCGUAAAGGGCGCGUAGGCGGCCUGCUAAGUCGAACGUGAAAUCCCCGAGCUCAACUCGGGAACUGCGUCCGAUACUGACAGGCUUGAAUCCGGGAGAGGGAUGCGGAAUUCCAGGUGUAGCGGUGAAAUGCGUAGAUAUCUGGAGGAACACCGAUGGCGAAGGCGGCAUCCUGGACCGGCAUUGACGCUGAGGCGCGAAAGCUAGGGGAGCAAACGGG